AUCCAGAUGACGAGUCCCAAUUAGGACAAAAUGCACAUCCUGGAU
rnacentral:hammerhead_ribozyme from 1 species